CACGUAGGGUGCGAGCGUUGUCCGGAAUCACUGGGCGUAAAGGGCGCGUAGGCGGCUCAUGAAGGCUGUGGUGAAAGUCCGGGGCUCAACCUCGGAUCGGCCGUGGCGACUCGUGGGCUGGAGCACUGUAGAGGCGGGUGGAAUUCCGGGUGUAGCGGUGGAAUGCGUAGAGAUCCGGAAGAACACCAGUGGCGAAGGCGGCCCGCUGGGCAGUGGCUGACGCUGAAGCGCGACAGCGUGGGGAGCAAACAGG
rnacentral:rRNA from 1 species